UAAGUAUGAAUCUAUCACGAUGAAUGUCUUGAGGGGUAGUAUAAAUCAAAAGGGGUACCAAUAAUACUGUAACUAAUUUGGCUGACAGAAAGGACGGCACGACGAAAUUCACAUGAUAUACCUGCUGCUUAUCUGCUGGGUAUAGGGAAACAUUGAUGCAAGAAGUAUGCCCAUAACAAUUCGUAGUACUUCAUAAUAACCACCAGAGUCGCAAAGAGUAGUUAACUCCGGUUUAUAAACUGAAAGCUAGCUGCAAACCCAAGAUAGCACACUCAAAAAAGU
rnacentral:lncRNA from 1 species